rnacentral:rRNA from 1 species
GGGAUUUCCUACGGGAGGCAGCAGUUCGGAAUAUUCCGCAUUGGACGAAAGUUUGACGAGCAAAACGCCGCGUGAACGAUGAAGGCCUUCGGGUCGAGUUCUGUUGUUAGGGAAGAACAAGUACCAGAGUAACUGCUGGUACCUUGACGGUACCUAACCAGAAAGCCACGGCUAACUACGUGCCAGCAGCCGCGGUAAUACGUAGGUGGCAAGCGUUGUCCGGAAUUAUUGGGCGUAAAGCGCUCGCAGGCGGUUUCUUAAGUCUGAUGUGAAAGCCCACGGCACAACCGUGGAGGGUCAUUGGAAACUGGGGAACUUGAGUGCAGAAGAGGAGAGCGGAAUUCCACGUGUAGCGGUGAAAUGCGUAGAGAUGUGGAGGAACACCAGUGGCGAAGGCGACUCUCUGGUCUGUAACUGACGCUGAGGAGCGAAAGCGUGGGGAGCGAACAGGAUUAGAUACCCUGGUAGUCCACGCCGUAAACGAUGAGUGCUAAGUGUUAGAGGGUUUCCGCCCUUUAGUGCUGCAGCAAACGCAUUAAGCACUCCGCCUGGGGAGUACGGUCGCAAGACUGAAACUCAAAGGAAUUGACGGGGGCCCGCACAAGCGGUGGAGCAUGUGGUUUAAUUCGAAGCAACGCGAAGAACCUUACCAGGUCUUGACAUCCUUCGCUACUUCUAGAGAUAGAAGGUUCCCCUUCGGGGGACGAAGUGACAGGUGGUGCAUGGUUGUCGUCAGCUCGUGUCGUGAGAUGUUGGGUUAAGUCCCGCAACGAGCGCAACCGUUGAUCUUAGUUGCCAGCAUUUAGU